ensembl:lncRNA
UUACAUCUACAGUUUUCCUCGAGUGAAUUCAGUGAAAUCCAGAUUGUGUCUGUCUCUGUCUGAGGUGAGCGGCACUGGCGUGAACGCGGCAAAAACUCCCGCGAACCAGCAGGUGCUUGUGCCAAACAAUUUCCGAAACACACAGAAAAGGAAAUUGAUAGGGGAAACCCUCAAACAUGCACCUCACCGUGCCAAGGUGGUCGCGACACCUGCAGCGGAAGAAGAACUUCGGGCACCUCCUGGGGAUGGAGACAAUGACUGACACACACGCACGCACGCACGCACACACACACACACACAGUAUAUAUUUAAUUUAAAUAAUUGUUUUUGUUACUUGUUGUUCAGCAUUUACUGAACAUAAAAUGAAUAUAAAUCUUUGUUCUUCUUGUUAUUACUGUUUCCUAAUAUUUGGAAAAACUUAUAGCCUAUUUUUUUAUUUACUGUGUUUGAUUUAUUUUCUAUACGCUUCCUGUGCAUGACCACAU